rnacentral:rRNA from 1 species
AUUGAACGCUGGCGGCAGGCUUAACACAUGCAAGUCGAGCGGGGUGAUGGUGCUUGCACUAUCACUUAGCGGCGGACGGGUGAGUAAUGCUUAGGAAUCUGCCUAUUAGUGGGGGACAACAUCUCGAAAGGGAUGCUAAUACCGCAUACGUCCUACGGGAGAAAGCAGGGGAUCACUUGUGACCUUGCGCUAAUAGAUGAGCCUAAGUCGGAUUAGCUAGUUGGUGGGGUAAAGGCCUACCAAGGCGACGAUCUGUAGCGGGUCUGAGAGGAUGAUCCGCCACACUGGGACUGAGAAACGGCCCAGACUCCUACGGGAGGCAGCAGUGGGGAAUAUUGGACAAUGGGGGGAACCCUGAUCCAGCCAUGCCGCGUGUGUAAAGAAGGCCUUAUGGUUGUAAAGCACUUUAAGCGAGGAGGAGGCUCUUUUGGUUAAUACCCAAGAUGAGUGGACGUUACUCGCAGAAUAAGCACCGGCUAACUCUGUGCCAGCCGCCGCAGUAA